rnacentral:rRNA from 1 species
AUUGAACACUGGCGGCAGGCCUAACACAUGCAAGUCGAGCGGAUGAGAGGAGCUUGCUUCUCGAUUCAGCGGCGGACGGGUGAGUAAUGCCUAGGAAUCUGCCUGGUAGUGGGGGACAACGUUUCGAAAGGAACGCUAAUAUCGCAUACGUCCUACGGGAGAAAGCAGGGGACCUUCGGGCCUUGCGCUAUCAGAUGAGCCUAGGUCGGAUUAGCUAGUUGGUGAGGUAAUGGCUCACCAAGGCGACGAUCCGUAACUGGUCUGAGAGGAUGAUCAGUCACACUGGAACGGAGACACGGUCCAGACUCCUACGGGAGUCAGCAGUGGGGAAUAUUGGACAAUGGGCGAAAGCCUGAUCCAGCCAUGCCGCGUGUGUGAAGAAGGUCUUCGGAUUGUAAAGCACUUUAAGUUGGGAGGAAGGGUUGUAGAUUAAUACUCUGCAAUUUUGACGUUACCGACAGAAUAAGCACCGGCUAACUCUGUGCCAGCAGCCGCCGUAACAC